rnacentral:rRNA from 1 species
GAUGAACGCUGGCGGCGUGCCUAAUACAUGCAAGUCGAGCGAACAGACGAGGAGCUUGCUCCUCUGACGUUAGCGGCGGACGGGUGAGUAAAACGUGGAUAACCUACCUAUAAGACUGGGAUAACUUCGGGAAACCGGAGCUAAUACCGGAUAAUAUAUUGAACCGCAUGGUUCAAUAGUGAAAGACGGUUUUGCUGUCACUUAUAGAUGGAUCCGCGCCGCAUUAGCUAGUUGGUAAGGUAACGGCUUACCAAGGCAACGAUGCGUAGCCGACCUGAGAGGGUGAUCAGCCACACUGGAACUGAGACACGGUCCAGACUCCUACGGGAGGCAGCAGUAGGGAAUCUUCCGCAAUGGGCGAAAGCUUGACGGAGCAACGCCGCGUGAGUGAUGAAGGUCUUCGGAUCGUAAAACUCUGUUAUUAGGGAAGAACAAAUGUGUAAGUAACUAUGCACGUCUUGACGGUACCUAAUCAGAAAGCCACGGCUAACUACGUG